rnacentral:precursor_RNA from 14 species
UCAGGUACAGUUUAAGGGCGAUUUGCCUGUUCAGAGAUGUAGUGUCUUGAUGUUCGAAGUUCCUAACAUCAAGUGGUACAUCACUGAGCAGGCUUUAAGCCUACCUAUUUUUUAAAAAU